GCAAACUUGGUCAUUUAGAGGAAGUAAAAGUCGUAACAAGGUAUCCGUAGGUGAACCUGCGGAUGGAUCAUUACCAAUUUUAUUAUAUUAGUUUGUGUAGGUCUGUCUGUCUUCAGAGAGGCAUUACACACAACUACUAUGUAAAUGUUGAACUAGAUCAAUCAGUGUGGAUUGCUUGGGAAAGGCGAUGUAACUAUCUCCGGACAGGCAAACCCCACACUGGUAACCCUUUUCAAAUAUUAUACUACUACUCGUACAUACUACAAAAAUAAACUCUUACAAAAUAGGACUUAUUAAUGGGCUGAGUGGGUAAAAUCCUCGGCUCUAAUUUUUAUAACAAAAUACAACUUUCAGCAAUGGAUCUCUAGGCUCUCGCAUCGAUGAAGAACGCAGC
rnacentral:misc_RNA from 1 species